CGGCUGUGACAGACUCAGCAUCCUUGUGGGAGGCUUGCAACAGACCUGAGUCUUGCACAGGAGUAACAUGUUUCCUGCAUGUCUCAUCCUGCUCCGACGCGAACAUUUGCGAAACCAAUCAAGAGCCGUCAAAAGUUCGCGUUUGUGCAGCAUCUUACAUAUGCCUCAGUAGAACUGGAACUCACUAUAAGGCAUACAAAACAGAAGUGUGCGAACCAGGCGAAGUGUAUGAGACCCAGUCACUCACUUGCCAACCAACGAACAUACUCGACUUGAAGUGCCCCGUCAACGGCGUUCUGAGCAGCACAGCUCGCUGUACUCGCAGGGACGAGGACUGCUUGACGUACAAAUCUUGCGAGACACAAACGAGCUUCCGAGGUUGUCGGUCAUACACAACCUGCGUCAGCUCACUGCUGUCUCCAACUCACGCGACCAGAAUUCCUCUCUGUGAAAAUAAUGAAAUUUUUGCUUUAGAAUUCCUCACUUGUCUACGGAUACCGCAGUCACAAGCGUUAAUUUCAGGCACGAUAAAUUCAACCAGGUGUGUCUUAACGGGAAUUUAUGGAUCAUUUUCAAUGACCAUCUAUCAACAGUUCGCUGGUAUGAACUUGACGAUUGCAAGUCCCUCAACAUCGUUAGUCCAGACAUCUCUCUGUUCUCCUCCACACGGCUGCAGAAACACGACCUUCUUUCAGCACAUCGCUUCAUGCAGAGAAGUCAACAUUUGCCACGAUGAAACAUUCGUUAGAAAUGUCCGCGUUUGUGACGCCUCUAAAAUUAUAUUAGAGCGAAGAGGAUUGCAAUACGAAGCCUCAAAACAAGACUUCUGUGCAAUAAAUGAAAUCUUUGAAUUACAAUCGUUGGAAUGUCAGCCUAGGAGCAUACUUCAGGCAAGAUGUCAAGUUAACGGCAUUACCAGUACGAGCUUAACGUGCUCCAUAUCCGAUAUCGAAUGCAAAAACUACAGAUUUUGUGAAACACAAACGAGUUUCCGAGGCUGCGAAGCGUCCUACGCAUGCGUCAAUGCGAUGUUACCCUCGGCGCCCGUCAGCAAAAUUCCUCUGUGUAAAUCUGGCGAGAUUUAUGCGGUCGAAUACGCGACUUGUCUCGUACCGCCACAAGAUGGCGACGGUGAGUAUUUAAG